GCGGGAGUAGCUCAGUUGGUAGAGCGCAACCUUGCCAAGGUUGAGGUCGAGAGUUCGAGACUCUUCUCCCGCUCCA
rnacentral:tRNA from 371 species